UCGGGAAUUUUGGGCAAUGGGCGAAAGCCUGACCCAGCAACGCCGCGUGAGGGAUGAAGUAUUUCGGUAUGUAAACCUCGAAAGAAUGGGAAGAAUAAAUGACGGUACCAUUUAUAAGCUCCGGCUAACUACGUGCCAGCAGCCGCGGUAAAACGUAGGGAGCAAGCGUUGUUCGGAUUUACUGGGCGUAAAGGGCGCGUAGGCGGCGCGGUAAGUCACUUGUGAAAUCUCUGAGCUUAACUCAGAACGGCCAAGUGAUACUGCUGUGCUAGAGUGCGGAAGAGGCAACCGGAAUUCUUGGUGUAGCGGUGAAAUGCGUAGAUAUCAAGAGGAACACCUGAGGCGAAGGCGGGUUGCUGGGCCGACACUGACGCUGAUGCGCGAAAGCCAGGGGAGCAAACG
rnacentral:rRNA from 1 species